ACCUCAAGUGGCCUUGGACUCGACGACACGUUCGACGUUCGGCACAAUACCUCGCUACAUUCCAAACUAUUCGCCCAAGGCAGAUCAGUGCAUCGAUCCGUCCAGGGCAACCAACAAGAGCGCGUGCGCCGUGAUGGCGACCCUCCACCCUCUCCCUGGUGACAAUAGCUGUGUGGAACCACCCGAUCCCUUCCCGAACUCGGAAGUGAAACGCACACGCGCCGAUGGUAGUGUGGCUCAAGCCAUGCAAGAGUAGGUCAUCGCCAGGG
rnacentral:rRNA from 1 species